rnacentral:lncRNA from 1 species
AAGCGAAUAAGGGAUGAAUCGAGUAAGCGAAGCGAAGAUGUACGGUAGAUAGAGUAUAGCCAGAGAUGGUCUAGAGACUAUGAUAUGCAUAGAUUGUGAAAGUGGAAAGAUGAGAUUGAGAUGUGAGACUGGAGUCAGAUUUAAGGCAAGUAUCCUGCACCCUGCUUUUGGAUAUAUUGCAAAUAUUCUGAUUCAUUCUUUUGAUGUGUUGCAAGUAUCCUAAACCUUUCUCUUGGAUAUAUUGCAAAUAUUCUGAUCCAUUCCUUUGGUAUAUGUUUCAAGUAUUCAUACCUUUCUUUUCAAUGUUCGAAAGUGCGAGUAUUCUAACCCAUUCUUUCUAAUCUUCAAGUUCUAAAGAAUUUCCGUUUUACAAAUUAAUUCGAAGUUCAGAUUGUCAUUGAAGCAUGUGUUGCUCAGUGAUAGUUAGAGCUUUGAAUGAAUUGGGAUCUUCUUGAUUAUUCAACCCGCCAUUGUCAUGCUGGUUUAGCAGGCUAAAUUCAGUUGCUUAGCCGAUAAUGGAGGAUACUGAAUAGUUGAGGAUUUCCUGAACUGUGAUUUAUGAAAUGAUGGAUCAUAAUUUAUGAAUAGAUUAUUAUCAAAGUUUGAUUUGGAAUUAUUCUGUUGUUGAUGAUAUUUAUGAUGAUGUUCUGUUGAUUUACAUUGGCUUCUUGAAUUGAAUUAGAGAAUUGGAUUAUUGUUUUUAUAUAAACAUGUGGACCAGAUGAGUGGUCAGACCAGAUGAAUGGUCAUGUUAGGCCAAUGAGUGCCUUGGAUCCAGUGAUAGAGCAUGGCGGGGCCUGCUCGGGGUUAGGUAUGACUGAUCAGCAUCCUAACCUUGGUUUUUAAUUAAAAUAUGAUAGUCCAAUUCAAUAAUUCUCUUGUGAAAGAUUGAAUUCCUCAGUAUUCAAUUGCUACAAGGUAUUGUGAUUUUCUUAUACAAUACCUAAACUCGUGAACUCAGGUUGAAUCCUUUUAUAUCUUGAACUCGUGAACUUCUGUUAUAUCAUUUCAGAAUUAUCAUUGUUUAUUACUACUUGCUGAGCAUUGUUGCUCACUCUUGCUAUUCUCUUUUAACCAUUUCAGAAAGGAUUAAAGAUAAAUGGCUAGUCUAUGAUUGCGAGUAAAGCUAAGGCUAGGCGAGGAGUGUUCAGGAAAGUUGAUGAGGUUGGUGCAAGCUAGAGCUGUGCUAUAAGGAUUCAAGUGUAAGUCAUAGCUGGAAUAGUUGACAGUGAUUCUUCUUAUCGAAGAUGAUCUGUUUUGGUAAGAGAUGUUGUGUAAUAUUAGUGGUGGAUUCUAAUUUCAAUACUGUAACCUGGAUGCGAUCCUGUUGUUUUAGGGGGUUAAAAUGUUCUCAUUCAAAUCUUUUAUUUAAUGUUUUCAAGUUUUAAAUUCUUUUGGAUUUUCAUUAUCUUUAAAAAAAAAAAAAAGGUUUUCAAAGUGUUUUAAAAAGGUUUCGUGUGGUGACGUCAGAAUCCAGGCCCCCGGAUUCCUGGGCUGUCACAGUUGGUAUCAGAGCAACAGGUUACAAGUUAUUGGAAUUUGAAUAUAGAUUAUAGUUUUAAGUUUUAUAUAGGAUAGACGUUGUGUGACCUCAUAUCGAGGUAUUGUGAGACUAUGUGGACAUAGUCUAGAGAGGUGAGUGAAGCGUAGAGUCUAGUUAGAUGAUCAAGUUAAGUGCGGAUAUUUAAAGAGAUUGGGAUUCUUAAGUUUAGACAUAUGAUUCCUAGUAUAUUGACUAAUCGAGAUGGUAUUAUAGUGAGAAGUGUCAAGAUUAGACCUAGAUAGAAGAGUUUGAUAGUGAAUGAUUGAAUUGAGAAUGGUGGAAAUGCAGAGUUCAGAGUAUUCUGACUAUACUGCAUAUUUGAAAUUGGAUUAUUGUAUUGAUUUGAGGAUGAUAUAAAUGCAUGGUUCAUAGUAUGGUGACCAUGUCAAAUAUUUGGAAGAUGUAUAUUGUUUUGAGUGAAGAUAUGAAGAGUAAGUGUAGAGUAUGAGUUGUGUUGGAUUAGAAGAAGAGAUUUGUAGAUAGAGGUUGAUAGAUGAGAAGUGCAUGAUAGAGAGUAAGUGAAGUUGAGUCAGGUUAUUAGAAGCGAUAUUUGCGAGUAAGUUAGAAUGUUAAUUCUCGACGACUACGCUUUAAGUUAAGCGGGACAAGGUGGGCCCAUAACCCACAGCUUGACGAGUCAGAAAAUAGAAGAUACGCUACGUGUUUGUGCUAUGGAUUUCAAAGGCAACUGGGAUAAAGUUGAAGAAUGUAAACUACAUGGGCCAGAGUUAUUACGGACGAUAAUGUCUACGAUGACAUCUUACGAGGCUAUUACGAAUCAACAUCGAUCGAUUAUCGAGAACGUUGAAAAGAAGACAUAUAUCGAACAAUGAUUUAUUGAAGCAGAGCGAAAAUCUGAGAAGACCUUGGCAAUACCUCUCUUCAACUAAAGGUUCUUUUAAUUUUUUUCUCAUCAGUGAGAUAUUAUCAUGAUAUCCUUUCGACCAAAGUUUCGAUAAAUGAGAUUUUCAAUUUCUCAAAUUCUAAGAUGAUAAUGAUAUUGAUUAUUGGUGUGAGUUAGUAUUGAAUCGGUGUAUGACAAAGGCGUGUUUAUGAAGAGACAGUGGAAUCCCUUGAUAUUCUUUCAUAUUCUUUGAUAUCCCUUAAUAUUCGUUGAUAUUCUUUGACACUCUUUGAUAUUCCUUGAUAUCUUUUCGAUAUUCCUUAAUAUAUUCCUCGAUAAUCCUUAACAUUCCUUGAUGCUCCUUGAGAUUUCUUGGAUUCUUUCCAUCUGAUUGGGAUGAACAACCCUAUGUAUAGGGUACACAAGGUAUACCUGUCUGUGUGAUAGGAGUUGGAUGGGACGCCAUCACUUGUGUGUGUUGUGAUUACAAGAAGGUUAACAACCUUUAGUAGUGUCUAACAUGGGCACGCAACAUUAAGUUCAUUUGAUCGUAUUGAUCUCCCAGUCACUCUUGUAUUCCAAUGUGACCUAUUUUGAAAACAUCUUGUUCUAUUCGAAAAUUCCCAAAGAUCGCUUCUUGGGAAAUGAAUUUUGCAAUCGCGAAAGUUUGAUUUUCCUUUUCCAUUAAAGUUAAAGGUAUGCCAAGAUCAACCAAAGGUGAAUGACGAUAUGAUAUUACGAAGUGUGUACGUUUUAGUUUCUUCGGAGGAUUCCGAGGACGGAAUCCUUAUAAGGGGGGUAGAAUGUAAUAUCCCAUAUUAUUAAAUUUAGAUUUGAUUAUUAUAAAUCUAUUUGUCUAAAUAUAAUUGUUGGCUUUAAUGGAAUAGUGAUCUGAUUAUGUGAAUAGUGUGUAUGUGAUUAUAUUUGUUAUGUGGAUUAAUAUGGAUUUUACAGAUUAUGCGUCCUCCUUCUUUCUCUGAUUCCGAGGACGGAAUCCCUAUAAGGAGGGUAGAUUGUAAUGACCCGGAUUUUUAAAAAAUAUUUUUAUUAGUAUUAUAAGUGGUCUUCUUAAUAAGUAAGGAAUAAGAUUUAAUAUUUUAUUCCAGUUUAAGGAGUUUUCAAAAUUUUAUAUUAAACCCCGGGUUAUUGUGUUAUUGAUAAAUGAUUAUAUUUUUAAAACUGAUUUUCAUAUAUUGUUUCGAAAAUUCUAGAUGAUUAUUAUGUGAAUAUAUGUGUGAUGUGAGUAAGUGGUAUUGGUGGAUUUGUUGGUUAAUUAAUUAUGGUUAAUUAUGAGUAUUAUAUGAUUAAUAUAUGAAUUUUUGUGAAUUUUAUAUUAUCUGGUUUAUUGCGUUAACUGCUCAUAUGUGUUCGUAUUUGAGAGAUUUCAAUUUCUAUAUGCUCAGGAGAAAAUAUAGUUUAUUUGGAUAUUUUCAUAUCGAUUUAUGGAAUGUUAGAUGAUUUUAUAAUCGAUUUACGGAUUUAAUUGCGUAUAUUUAUAUUUAUUUAUUAAUUAUUUGACUUCCGUAAAACCGUCCACUCGUAACGAGGUAGCAAAUUUUCUUUCCGGAAGUUUCAACAAAAUUGACCUUUAGCCUAAUUUGAAUAUUCCGGACACUUUUCGUGUUUUGACUUUUUCGAUCCGGAGUACGGUUUUCCCCGGAGUCGGUCCGGCGGAGUUUUUCGGGUAUUUUAAUUGUUGAUAAUUAUCCAGUUUGCCUCGAUAUACGUGAAAGCUAGAUAUUUUGAUUAUUAUAUUCAUCCUUAUCUUGUAAUAAUUGCAAUGGGACCCGCAUACUAAUGACUGAUUAAAAAGCCCCGUUUUGAUGAUUAUCUUGAAAACCAGUACCGAUUGGACCCCGCUUUAUUAUAUAAAGCUAGUAAAUAUCGUAUUUUCAUGUCAUAAACGAUCCAAAGGGGUACCAAUUAUUUGUAAAUAUAAAUAGCCCUUUCUACACCUUAUUUUCAACCGUAAAUCAUUUUCACCAGUUUCUCUGCACGAAUACCGAGAGAAACCGAAGUAUGUUCUUCGUGUUCUUCAUAAUCAAACGAAGAUUUGAAGGUGUUAUUGGAAUCCGAUGGAGGCGUAUGAAUAGUCAAAACGAAGCUAUCGACGUGUAGAUUAUAGUUUAAUCAUUCGUUUGUGUGCAGAUUCAACAGGUAAAUUACUAUUAAUUGUUGAAAAUUCGAGUUAUAUUGAUUUGAAAUAUGAAUUUUUGCAAACGUGAUUGUUUGAUUAUUUUGAUGAUACCAUGUUGUAGAGCGUGUUUUUCUCGUCGUUUUGGUAUAUUAUAUGUCGAAUUUGGAGUUCGGAAUCAUAUAGAAACAGUGGUUUGAUUUUGAGAAUUCAAGUGUUCUUGAGUGUUCUUGAGUUUUGCCGGAAAUCUUUAAAUUUCGGCCGGAUUUUCAUUCUGUUAAAUCUGGGAGAUGGUGGUAUAUAUGGAUGGAUAGAGGAGGAGAAGAGGAAUCGAUUCAUAUGUAUGUUAACAGUGGAGAAGGCCUGAGAAGCUCGCCGAGUUCUGGAAGAAAACCGCCGGCGGCGGGAUUUUCUUUGACUUUUCCGGCGAACUUCCACGGUUUCUGGCGAUUCGGAGUGCAUGUACAAGUUCCUGGCAGUGGUUAGGAUGUAUCUGGAGCUUUGGGUGGAGUUCUGGGCACUGAAAAUGGAUUCCGGCAUAAAUCCGGCGAGUUUGUCGGUGGCCGGCGUAAAAUUACAGUUAGGUACCUCAGCUUUUGAGAAUGAUGAAGCUGAGGUACUGUGGUUUCAAAGUUUGCAUUUCAGCCCCUGAAACUUCUGAAAGUUACACUUUAAACCCUGGACAAAACUUUCAAAAGUUUACAAAAUAAACCUUUUGAUUUAAUUUUCUAAAAUUGUUUUAUUUAAUUAUUUUAAAUUUCAAAAAUAGUUUUUAAUUAUUUCUUUAUUCAAAAAUAAAUCUAAAUUAGUUUGUUAAUUAAUUUUAAUUAGUAAUUAAUUAUUUUAAUUGGUCAAUUAAUUUAAAUAUUAAUUGAUUAAUUAAUUUAAUUAAUUAUUAAUUGAUUUUAAUUGAUUAAUUAAUUGGAUUUAAUUAAUCCUUUUUGAUUUAAAAAUUCUGAAAAAUAGUUUCGAGCUUUCAAAUAUUUUUCCAAAUUAUUUUCAAGGCUCGAUAAUUGUUUAUGAAUGAUUUCAAGUCCAAUUUCAAGUAUUUGGGACUUGAUUAUUUAUUCGAAAAGUGAUUCUUUUAUCGAUUUUAAUUCCGAAAAAUGUUUAAAAAUUCUGGAAAAUUCCCGAAAAAUCAUUUUUAACCCAAGGCUUGAUUUAAUAUCAAUUGGGAUGGGAAACCUUAUGUGUUGUGUGUUGUCUGCUAUUGGUUGGAUGUGUUAUGUGCCGAUAGGAGAGUGAGAAAACUGUUUUGAGCAUAACUUUUGAUCCGUAAGUCGGAAUCAAGUGAAACGAAAGAGAGACAGAAGCUUAUAACGUCUAUUUUAAUAUGAUGUGAUUAUAUGGCUGAGUCUAUAAGGUGAAUAAUUGUUGAUAAGUAUGCAUAAUGUGAUAAUAUGUGAUCUAAGUGCUACCAAGUGAUGAUAAUGUGAAGUACGUGUUAGUUUUGAUAUUGUGAAGUGAUAAAUGAUUCGUACGGUUGAUAUUCCAGUUUAAUGAGUUUUCAAGGUUUUAUAUUUAAACCCCGGGUUAUUGUGUUAUUGAUAAAUAAUUGUAUUUUCAGAACUGAUUUUCAUAUUUUGUUUUGAAAAUUCUAGAUGAUAAUUAUGUGAAUAUAUGUGGUAUGUGACUAAGUGUUACUUGUGGUAUUGUUCGUUUAAUUAUUUAUGGUGAUUUAUGAUUAUUAUAUAAUUUUGUGAAUUUUGUGUUAUCUAGUUUAUUGAGCUGAAUGCUCAUAUGUGUUCGUAUUCGCGAGAUUUCAAUUUCUAUAUGCUCAGGAUGAAAUAUAGUUUAUUUGGAUAUUUUCAUAUUGAUUUAUGGAAUGUUAGAUGAUUUUAUAAUCGAUUUACGGAUUUAAUUGCGUAUAUUUAUAUUUAUUUAUUAAUUAUUUGACUUCCGUAAAACCGUCCACUCGUAACGAGGUAGCAAAUUUUCUUUCCGGAAGUUUCAACAAAAUUGACCUUUAGCCUAAUUUGAAUAUUCCGGACACUUUUCGUGUUUUGACUUUUUCGAUCCGGAGUACGGUUUUCCCCGGAGUCGGUCCGGCGGAGUUUUUCGGGUAUUUUAAUUGUUGAUAAUUAUCCAGUUUGCCUCGAUAUACGUGAAAGCUAGAUAUUUUGAUUAUUAUAUUCAUCCUUAUCUUGUAAUAAUUGCAAUGGGACCCGCAUACUAAUGACUGAUUAAAAAGCCCCGUUUUGAUGAUUAUCUUGAAAACCAGUACCGAUUGGACCCCGCUUUAUUAUAUAAAGCUAGUAAAUAUCGUAUUUUCAUGUCAUAAACGAUCCAAAGGGGUACCAAUUAUUUGUAAAUAUAAAUAGCCCUUUCUACACCUUAUUUUCAACCGUAAAUCAUUUUCACCAGUUUCUCUGCACGAAUACCGAGAGAAACCGAAGUAUGUUCUUCGUGUUCUUCAUAAUCAAACGAAGAUUUGAAGGUGUUAUUGGAAUCCGAUGGAGGCGUAUGAAUAGUCAAAACGAAGCUAUCGACGUGUAGAUUAUAGUUUAAUCAUUCGUUUGUGUGCAGAUUCAACAGGUAAAUUACUAUUAAUUGUUGAAAAUUCGAGUUAUAUUGAUUUGAAAUAUGAAUUUUUGCAAACGUGAUUGUUUGAUUAUUUUGAUGAUACCAUGUUGUAGAGCGUGUUUUUCUCGUCGUUUUGGUAUAUUAUAUGUCGAAUUUGGAGUUCGGAAUCAUAUAGAAACAGUGGUUUGAUUUUGAGAAUUCAAGUGUUCUUGAGUGUUCUUGAGUUUUGCCGGAAAUCUUUAAAUUUCGGCCGGAUUUUCAUUCUGUUAAAUCUGGGAGAUGGUGGUAUAUAUGGAUGGAUAGAGGAGGAGAAGAGGAAUCGAUUCAUAUGUAUGUUAACAGUGGAGAAGGCCUGAGAAGCUCGCCGAGUUCUGGAAGAAAACCGCCGGCGGCGGGAUUUUCUUUGACUUUUCCGGCGAACUUCCACGGUUUCUGGCGAUUCUGAGUGCAUGUACAAGUUCCUGGCAGUGGUUAGGAUGUAUCUGGAGCUUUGGGUGGAGUUCUGGGCACUGAAAAUGGAUUCCGGCAUAAAUCCGGCGAGUUUGUCGGUGGCCGGCGUAAAAUUACAGUUAGGUACCUCAGCUUUUGAGAAUGAUGAAGCUGAGGUACUGUGGUUUCAAAGUUUGCAUUUCAGCCCCUGAAACUUCUGAAAGUUACACUUUAAACCCUGGACAAAACUUUCAAAAGUUUACAAAAUAAACCUUUUGAUUUAAUUUUCUAAAAUUGUUUUAUUUAAUUAUUUUAAAUUCCAAAAAUAGUUUUUAAUUAUUUCUUUAUUCAAAAAUAAAUCUAAAUUAGUUUAUUAAUUAAUUUUAAUUAGUAAUUAAUUAUUUUAAUUGGUCAAUUAAUUUAAAUAUUAAUUGAUUAAUUAUUUUAAUUAAUUAUUAAUUGAUUUUAAUUGAUUAAUUAAUUGGAUUUAAUUAAUCCUUUUUGAUUUAAAAAUUCCGAAAAAUAGUUUCGAGCUUUAAAAUAUUUUUCCAAAUUAUUUUCAAGGCUCGAUAAUUGUUUAUGAAUGAUUUCAAGUCCAAUUUCAAGUAUUUGGGACUUGAUUAUUUAUUCGAAAAGUGAUUCUUUUAUCGAUUUUAAUUCCGAAAAAUGUUUAAAAAUUCUGGAAAAUUCCCGAAAAAUCAUUUUUAACCCAAGACUUGAUUUAAUAUCAAUUGGGAUGGGAAACCUUAUGUGUUGUGUGUUGUCUGCUAUUGGUUGGAUGUGUUAUGUGCCGAUAGGAGAGUGAGAAAACUGUUUUGAGCAUAACUUUUGAUCCGUAAGUCGGAAUCAAGUGAAACGAAAGAGAGACAGAAGCUUAUAACGUCUAUUUUAAUAUGAUGUGACUAUAUGGCUGAGUCUAUAAGGUGAAUAAUUGUUGAUAAGUAUGCAUAAUGUGAUAAUAUGUGAUCUAAGUGCUAUCAAGUGAUGAUUAUGUGAAGUACGUGUUAGUUUUGAUAUUGUGAAGUGAUAAAUGAUUCGUAUGAUUGAUAUUGGAUAAGAAUAUAUGGAUUAUAGUUAUUGGAUUUUGUUGGUUGAUUAAUGAUUGAGAUAGGAUAAUAGGUGGAUAGUCUUAUACAUAGACGAGACGAUGUCGGAUUUUCGAUAAGGAUUUAUAUGAUAAUUGAUUGGUGAUAUGUUAUGUGGAAUAUGAUUGACUAUAUGUUAGAGUCAAAGCAUGCUUAUGUGUUACGUGGUAUCUGAUAAGUUUAAAGGGAUAUAUAAGUGGGUAUCGAUAUACGUGAGAUGUAUAUGCGAUCGAUUGUUUAGUGAUUAUAGUGUUAUCUUAUUCUCGUAAAGGAUUUGGACGAGACGUGUAUGCCCGAAGACGUUCAGAAAGUCACGUGGUGUUACAAAGCGAAUAAGGGAUGAAUCGAGUAAGCGAAGCGAAGAUGUACGGUAGAUAGAGUAUAGCCAGAGAUGGUCUAGAGACUAUGAGAUGCAUAGAUUGUGAAAGUGGAAAGAUGAGAUUGAGAUGUGAGACUGGAGUCAGAUUUAAGGCAAGUAUCCUAAACCUUUCUCUUGGAUAUAUUGCAAAUAUUCUGAUCCAUUCCUUUGGUAUAUGUUUCAAGUAUUCAUACCUUUCUUUUCAAUGUUCGAAAAUGCGAGUAUUCUGACCCAUUCUUUCUAAUCUUCAAGUUUCUAAAGAAUUUCCGUUUUACAAAUUAAUUCGAAGUUCAGAUUGUCAUUGAAGCAUGUGUUGCUCAGUGAUAGUUAGAGCUUUGAAUGAAUUGGGAUCUUCUUGAUUAUUCAACCCGCCAUUGUCAUGCUGGUUUAGCAGGCUAAAUUCAGUUGCUUAGCCGAUAAUGGAGGAUACUGAAUAGUUGAGGAUUUCCUGAACUGUGAUUUAUGAAAUGAUGGAUCAUAAUUUAUGAAUAGAUUAUUAUCAAAGUUUGAUUUGGAAUUAUUCUGUUGUUGAUGAUAUUUAUGAUGAUGUUCUGUUGAUUUACAUUGGCUUCUUGAAUUGAAUUAGAGAAUUGGAUUAUUGUUUUUAUAUAAACAUGUGGACCAGAUGAGUGGUCAGACCAGAUGAAUGGUCAUGUUAGGCCAAUGAGUGCCUUGGAUCCAGUGAUAGAGCAUGGCGGGGCCUGCUCGGGGUUAGGUAUGACUGAUCAGCAUCCUAACCUUGGUUUUUAAUUAAAAUAUGAUAGUCCAAUUCAAUAAUUCUCUUGUGAAAGAUUGAAUUCCUCAGUAUUCAAUUGCUACAAGGUAUUGUGAUUUUCUUAUACAAUACCUAAACUCGUGAACUCAGGUUGAAUCCUUUUAUAUCUUGAACUCGUGAACUUCUGUUAUAUCAUUUCAGAAUUAUCAUUGUUUAUUACUACUUGCUGAGC